GUGAGGAAUAUUGCGCAAUGGAGGCAACUCUGACGCAGCCAUGCCGCGUGCAGGAAGAAGGCGCUACGCGUUGUAAACUGCUUUUAACCGGGAAGAAACCCCAGGACGUGUCCUGGGUUGACGGUACCGGAGGAAUAAGCACCGGCUAACUUCGUGCCAGCAGCCGCGGUAAUACGAAGGGUGCAAGCGUUAUCCGGAUUCAUUGGGUUUAAAGGGUGCGUAGGCGGAGCGUUAAGUCAGUGGUGAAAUCCUGCAGCUUAACUGUAGACUUGCCAUUGAUACUGGCGCUCUUGAGUGCGCUUGAAGUGGGCGGAAUGUGCCGUGUAGCGGUGAAAUGCUUAGAUAUGGCACAGAACACCAAUUGCGAAGGCAGCUCACUAAGGCGAUACUGACGCUGAGGCACGAAAGCGUGGGGAUCGAACAGGAUUAGAAACCCGUGUACC
rnacentral:rRNA from 1 species